rnacentral:rRNA from 1 species
CCUACGGGAGGCAGCAGUGAGGAAUAUUGGUCAAUGGACGCGAGUCUGAACCAGCCAAGUAGCGUGAAGGAUGACUGCCCUAUGGGUUGUAAACUUCUUUUAUAAGGGAAUAAAGUGAUCCACGUGUGGGUUUUUGUAUGUACUUUAUGAAUAAGGAUCGGCUAACUCCGUGCCAGCAGCCGCGGUAAUACGGAGGAUCCGAGCGUUAUCCGGAUUUAUUGGGUUUAAAGGGAGCGUAGGUGGGUUGUUAAGUCAGUUGUGAAAGUUUGCGGCUCAACCGUAAAAUUGCAGUUGAAACUGGCAGUCUUGAGUACAGUAGAGGUUGGCGGAAUUCGUGGUGUAGCGGGGAAAUGCUUAGAUAUCACGAAGAACUCCGAUUGCGAAGGCAGCUAACUAAACUGCAACUGACAUUGAGGCUCGAAAGUGUGGGUAUCAAACAGGAUUAGAUACCCGAGUAGUC